GCUGAGCCCCGGAGACUGAUGUCCUCUGUUUAACAGCAGAACAACUACCCCAUAGGCGGCUGCAGUGCAAGCUUCCCCCACAUUGCCUGAUCAAAAUACCUCAACACUUAUCUGGAGGGACCCUCUUUAUUGUGAGAGUAUAGGUCAGCCCUUAGCCACUGUGAUGAGACUGCC
ensembl:misc_RNA